rnacentral:rRNA from 1 species
UACGUAGGUGGCAAGCGUUAUCCGGAAUUAAUGGGCGUAAAGAGCGCGCAGGUGGUUAAUUAAGUCUGAUGUGAAAGCCCACGGCUUAACCGUGGAGGGUCAUUGGAAACUGGUUGACUUGAGUGCAGAAGAGGGAAGUGGAAUUCCAUGUGUAGCGGUGAAAUGCGUAGAGAUAUGGAGGAACACCAGUGGCGAAGGCGGCUUCCUGGUCUGCAACUGACACUGAGGCGCGAAAGCGUGGGGAGCAAACAGG